rnacentral:lncRNA from 1 species
GUUGUGGUGAGUCCGCUGCAAGUCAGUUGAUCUGUUCCAUGUCUCCUCAAUCAGGAUUCCAGACUGAUAGAACAGUUGCCAUCUUGAAUGUUUUACGUUGCUAUGGGGAGAAUAAAGAUUACUCCAGAGGGUGUCAGGCUGGCAUUUAAAUCCUAUGGCCAGAAGUGGCACACAUCAUUUGGGCUUCAACCUAAUUGGCCAGGACUAGUGGCAUGGCUUCAUUGAAUCAUCACAGUGAGGCCACAUCGUGCUGCCUACCUCGUGCCCCAAAGUAGAGAGCUAUGCUGCACAACUUUUAAGGACUAACAUACUCUUAGUGACUCUUUGCGCCAAUAUUCUCUAGAUUCCAAUUUGGGGAAACUUCUGGGAAGACACAAAUAAGUUGCAGUAUAUGAACAUUCUUCUGGUGAAUUACUUUUAAAGGAUUUAGAACCACCUGAAAAAGAAUUUUAUGAAUCAACAAUAAAAAGAGAAGAAAUAAGCAUAUUCUAGAGAGUGGAAAGAAUGAAGAGUCCACUUCAUCAAUUCCAGUUUGCUCUCUAACAUGCUCCUGUGGCCUUCUAUGUUGCUGGCCCUGACACACUUUGGGAUUUUCCUAUGCUAGCAGAGUAUAAGUCUUUACUGGCCAGCAUUGCAUUUCCAAAAUUUAAUGGUCAAGCAGAAGACUUCCCCUUUGAUGGCUUCUUGGGCUUUGUGCACCAAUGACUUGAAAUAUAUUAUAAAUGCUAGAAGCUGAUCUUCAAGCUUAGAAAAGAGGAAUUUUGUGGAAGCACAUUAAAGACAUGGGGUCUUCUCUUGGGCUCCCACUCUGUUGGAUGUCCUUGCAGUUUUUGAAAAUGGAACAAUGAACAUAUUCUAGCACAUGAAGUAUACCAGAAACUGGUUGUUUCCAUAUGCAAGUUCAAUCAUUUUUCCCACUUCCUGUGACUUUUAUAGAUGGAAUUGGAGACAGCAUCAUGGAUACAUUAAGAUCAACUUAUCCUCUGAGAGAAAGUGGAAAACCUGCAUAAAAUCUGGCAAAUAUUUGUUUAAAAGCAUCCCAGAGACUCAAGACAGAGAGGGCUUGAGAAGUGGAGAACCCAGAGUGCAGAGAAUCCGAUGUUGUAGGUCUCUGCUCUUGUAAGACUUUGGCUGCAGAAUCCCGGGAUAAGCCCUCCUAGGUGAGUUAUCUAUUUCCUGAAUGCUGUCUGUCUCCUACCUGCCUAUGC